rnacentral:rRNA from 1 species
AGUGAACGCUGGCGGCGUGCCUAAUACAUGCAAGUCGAACGGAGUGACGCACGGGUGAGUAAUGUAUAGCUAAUCUGCCCUACACUAGAGGACAACAGUUGGUAACGGCUGCUAAUACUCUAUAGUGUAGGAUGAGGCUAUAUUGUAUCAGCUAGUUGGUGAGGUAAUGGCUCACCCAGGCUAUGACGCAUAACUUGUCUGAGAGGAUGAUGAGGCACACUGGAACUGAGACACGGGCCAGACUCCUACGGGAGGCAGCAGUAGGGAAUAUUGCCCAAUGGGGGUAACCCUGAAGCAGCAACGCCGCGUGGAGGAUGACACGUGUCGGAGCGUAAACUCCUUUUGUUAGGGAAGCGGUACCUAACGAAUAAGCACCGGCUAACUCCGUGCCAGCAGCCGCGGUAAUUC